GCCUUCCCAGCUCCAGUGGGUCCCUCUCCUCGAGGCACCUCUUGGUGCAGUUCAGUGUUCCUGAGAAGUAGCUGACAAAUUCCCAAAUGUAGUGUGGCGAGAGCUUAAUCAGUUCUCAUGUCCAUCAGCAGAACGCUUCCCCAAUCUGAGCUGCAUCUGCUUCUGCCAAGGACUCCCUGGCAGCCCCAAAGGUGGCUUCAGGAAAUCCGGUCCAUGGAGGAACAGCAUGACUUGCAGGAGCACUGCACAGAUGCAGGUUGGGCUCAGAACCAGCAGGCAAAAUACAGCAUGCAGCCUGAAAGCAUUUCAGAGCUUCAAUCUGCACAUGUCCUUCUGGGAGGAGAGCUGCCUGCACUGCAGUCCCCGAGGAGUUC
rnacentral:lncRNA from 1 species